AUUGAACGCUGGCGGCAGGCCUAACACAUGCAAGUCGAGCGGAUGAAGGGAGCUUGCUCCUGGAUUCAGCGGCGGACGGGUGAGUAAUGCCUAGGAAUCUGCCUGGUAGUGGGGGAUAACGUCCGGAAACGGGCGCUAAUACCGCAUCCGUCCUGAGGGAGAAAGUGGGGGAUCUUCGGACCUCACGCUAUCAGAUGAGCCUAGGUCGGAUUAGCUAGUUGGUGGGGUAAAGGCCUACCAAGGCGACGAUCCGUAACUGGUCUGAGAGGAUGAUCAGUCACACUGGAACUGAGACACGGUCCAGACUCCUACGGGAGGCAGCAGUGGGGAAUAUUGGACAAUGGGCGAAAGCCUGAUCCAGCCAUGCCGCGUGUGUGAAGAGGGUCUUCGGAUUGUAAAGCACUUUAAGUUGGGAGGAAGGGCAGUAAGUUAAUACCUUGCUGUUUUGACGUUACCAACAGAAUAAGCACCGGCUAACUUCGUG
rnacentral:rRNA from 1 species